ensembl:lncRNA
UGUGUGUGUGUGUGUGUGUGAGUGUAAAAGGAGUGGGAGGGAGGGAAAGAGAACAAGGAAGCAAGUUGGGCCAAAGUUCACUUUUCUACACUGUGGUCAUGCGUCACACCCCCUCAGAGGUGUCCAACUGCAGCGGCAAAGGCUCUGGAACGAGGUAACGGGGUGGGCUCAACGGAAUAAUGCACUGAAUUGGAAGAAGGAGAGGUUUAUAGCAAGGUGUGCAGCGUGGUCCACGUCCCGGUAUAGAGUGCUCGCUCCUGGGGGCCGACGUCCUGGGAGCAGCGGUUAGCUCACGGGGGGAGGUGGACGCCCGACGGCCCGCUGACGCUUGAAGGAGGGUGUAUUACCGUGGUCCUGGGAGGCCCAGGGAUAGCGGCCAUGGAGGUCGCCCCAGUCUCCCUGGGUCUUGUCCUCCUCUCCUUCUGCUCCCUCUUUAUCCUCGCGAUCGCUCUUGCACUUUGCACCGAAUGUAGAAGGUAUUCAUUUCACAUGCAAGAGAGGCCUAGAAAAGAGAGGACUCCAUCCACGAUGAUUCGAGUGGUGAAUCUGGAGCAAGUCAGAGAGAGCCCGUGGAUUAACAACAUCACAAAAGACGAGGAAGGUGAUUCCUCAGAACCAAUGAAGACAGUCAACGGCAACACAAAGGAAAGGAGAGGAGAUAAAUUUCCAUCAGCCGAAAUCAAUUCUGGUGAAAUAAGCGUGAUCCCCAACGAGGAGCAGCACUCAGAGCCCCAGAGCACCCUGUCCAGAGACGGGACCAGGACUGCAGCAGAAGGGCCUGCAAGCAUCACUGCUCGCCAAACCGAUAUGGCCUCUGUAUCGAUUUUUACCCCACAUAUGGAUGUGGAGACACCUCUGCAAUCCACCCCUUCUCAGAAUCUGACACAGAUCCAGUCCAAGGGGUUUGGUUCCUCAGUUCAGUCUUGCGAAGACCAUGAGACACGAUCUCCCCAGAACCCCAGCAAACCACAGCGUAUGUACGAGAGCAUAGGGGACUUAUGUGAAGCCAAUGUCAACCUCUAUCCCGCUACUGGAGCUUUUGUCAAGGACUGCUUUGAAGACCCCAGUCACCAGGCUGUAGAGGAGGUGACACCUGACUCCAGCCCAGCCAGUCAUGUGUCUAACUUGCAGCACGGGGGGGAUCCAGCUCUAUCAGUCCCGCCUACUCCAACCGAGAUGGUCAGAGAAGGUGUAUAUGGCAGGGGGCUGAAUGACAUGUACGCUCGAGUAAGCAAGAAAGCGAAGAGCCCCACCCCACAACCGCAACUGCCCAAAGAAGAAAGGGAAGAACAGGUUGAACCUCCACCCCCUAUCCCACACAGGGGAUCUGAGGAGUCCUUCAUUACAAUAGAACUGGUAUAAAUGUAUAAACUUCAGAACAACCAAAAUCCACAUGCAGUGAUUCCUCAACUCACAAACACAAUUGGGACCAGAAGUCUAACUCCAAAAUCAUGUUUACCUCUUUUACUAAAGUCAUAACCAAAAUAAGUUACAUAAUACAGAUAUUUCUCCAUUUAGACAUGUUACACACACACACACACACACACACACAUUUCUUAGAUACCAGCAUAAUAAUAAAAUAUCCAUCCAUCCAUCCGUCCA